rnacentral:rRNA from 1 species
AGAGAAUCGCCUCUUGCAUUAUAAAUAAGAGGUCCCGCCUGCCCUGUGACUAUUAGUUUAACGGCCGCGGUAUUUUGACCGCGCGAAGGUAGCGCAAUCACUUGUCUCUUAAAUGGGGACCUGUAUGAAUGGCAUAACGAGGGCUUAGCUGUCUCCCCUCCCAAGUUAAUGAAAUUGAUCUUUCCGUGCAGAAGCGGGAAUAAAUACAUAAGACGAGAAGACCCUAUGAAGCUUUAGACGUAAGGUAGGCCAGACUACAAAGGCCCUGAAAUAAAAGAACUAACCAAAAGGUUUACUACCCCAAUGUCUUUGGUUGGGGCGACCGCGGGGAAAGACAAAACCCCCAUGUGGAACGGGAGUACAACUCCUAAAACUAAGAGCCGCAGCUCUAAGAAACAAGAUUUUUGACCAAUAGAUCCGGCAAUGCCGAUUAACGGACCGAGUUACUCUAGGGAUAACAGCGCAAUCCCUUUUUAGAGACCAUAUCAACAAGGGGGUUUACGACCUCGAUGUUGGAUCAGGACAUCCUAUUGGUGCAGCAGCUAUUAAGGGUUCGUUUGUUCAACGAUUAAAGUCCU